rnacentral:rRNA from 1 species
UACGGAGGAUCCAAGCGUUAUCCGGAAUCAUUGGGUUUAAAGGGUCCGUAGGCGGCCCCGUAAGUCAGCGGUGAAAUCCGGCAGCUCAACUGUCGAACUGCCGUUGAUACUGCGGGGCUUGAAUUUCCGGGAAGUGACUAGAAUAUGUAGUGUAGCGGUGAAAUGCUUAGAGAUUACAUGGAAUACCGAUUGCGAAGGCAGGUCACUACCGGCGGAUUGACGCUGAUGGACGAAAGCGCGGAGAGCGAACAGG